rnacentral:rRNA from 1 species
UACGUAGGGUGCAAGCGUUGUCCGGAAUUAUUGGGCGUAAAGAGCUCGUAGGCGGUUUGUCACGUCGAAUGUGAAAACCCGGGGCUCAACCCCGGGCCUGCAUUCGAUACGGGCAGACUAGAGUUCGGUAGGGGAGUCUGGAAUUCCUGGUGUAGCGGUGAAAUGCGCAGAUAUCAGGAGGAACACCGGUGGCGAAGGCGGGACUCUGGGCCGAUACUGACGCUGAGGCGCGAAAGCGUGGGGAGCGAUCCGG